UACGUAGGGGGCAAGCGUUGUCCGGAAUCACUGGGCGUAAAGAGUACGUAGGCGGUUUGUUAAGUUAGAUGUGAAAGUUUGCAGCUCAACUGUAAAAGUGCAUUUAAAACUGGCAGACUUGAGUCUCGGAGAGGUAAGCGGAAUUCCUAGUGUAGCGGUGAAAUGCGUAGAGAUUAGGAAGAACACCGGUGGCGAAGGCGGCUUACUGGACGAGUACUGACGCUCAGGUACGAAAGCGUGGGGAGCAAACAGG
rnacentral:rRNA from 1 species